AACGAACGCUGGCGGCAGGCCUAACACAUGCAAGUCGAGCGAAGCCUUCGGGCUUAGCGGCGGACGGGUGAGUAACGCGUGGGAACGUGCCCUUUGCUACGGAAUAGCCCCGGGAAACUGGGAGUAAUACCGUAUGUGCCCUUCGGGGGAAAGAUUUAUCGGCAAAGGAUCGGCCCGCGUUGGAUUAGGUAGUUGGUGGGGUAAUGGCCUACCAAGCCGACGAUCCAUAGCUGGUUUGAGAGGAUGAUCAGCCACACUGGGACUGAGACACGGCCCAGACUCCUACGGGAGGCAGCAGUAGGGAAUCUUAGACAAUGGGGGAAACCCUGAUCUAGCCAUGCCGCGUGAUCGAUGAAGGCCUUAGGGUUGUAAAGAUCUUUCAGUGGGGAAGAUAAUGACUGUACCCACAGAAGAAGCCCCGGCUAACUCCGUGCCAGCCGCCGCGGUAA
rnacentral:rRNA from 1 species